GGUCUCGGAGCUCAUUUGACUAGAGCGCUGGUUGUAUUAAAGCCUUCCCUUGCUGGCAUGGGUUCAAAUCCCGUCGAGGCCA
rnacentral:tRNA from 1 species